CAAAGCCAAUAAAAUGAUUAUAUUUAAAUAAACUAAACAUCCAUUUCCAAACUUAAAAGAAUAUCCAAAUGUAUCAAGUUUAGACAAUGAAACUAGAUUUCAAGAAACAAAAAGAACCUAAAGAGUUUGAAAAAAAAUUUAAAUGGUGUCCAGUGUUUAAAAUUAAAUGGUAGGUUUCAAUGACUUCAACUGAAACUUUGACAUCGGUUUCCCAUAAAAACAAAUUUUUCAUUUGGAUUUAUGAUUUG
rnacentral:lncRNA from 1 species